rnacentral:rRNA from 1 species
GAUGAACGCUAGCGGCAGGCUUAACACAUGCAAGUCGAACGGUAAGUUAGAAGCUUGCUUCUAACACGAGUGGCGCACGGGUGCGUAACGCGUAUGCAAUCUACCCUUUUCUGGAGAAUAGCCCUUAGAAAUGAGGAUUAAUACUCCAUAGUAUUACAAUUUCGCAUGUUAUUGUAAUUAAAGCUUCGGCGGAAAAGGAUGAGCAUGCGUCCCAUUAGUUUGUUGGUGAGGUAAUGGCUCACCAAGACUUCGAUGGGUAGGGGGCCUGAGAGGGUUAUCCCCCACACUGGUACUGAGACACGGACCAGACUCCUACGGGAGGCAGCAGUGAGGAAUAUUGGUCAAUGGACGAAAGUCUGAACCAGCCAUGCCGCGUGCAGGAUGACGGCCCUAUGGGUUGUAAACUGCUUUUAUAUAGGAAGAAACCUCUUUACGUGUAAAGAGCUGACGGUACUAUAAGAAUAAGGACCGGCUAACUCCG